GAGAUAGAGGCGCACCCGCUAAUGAGUAGGUUUUCCUUAUGGAUGUACAUAUCCGGGAAACGGAAAGGUAGGGGUGCCGAGGUUGAAUCUUUCAUGUACGGGAGAUUUCAGCUGGGCGUACAGAAUAACAUCUGUGCGACUGUCGCAGAGCGCGGAUUUAUUAAAGGCGCGUGAAGAAUGCGGAGCGCUAUCC
rnacentral:ncRNA from 1 species